UACGGGGGGGGGCAAGCGUUGUUCGGAAUUACUGGGCGUAAAGGGCGCGUAGGCGGCCUUCUAAGUCGAACGUGAAAUCCCCGGGCUCAACCCGGGAACUGCGUCCGAUACUGGAAGGCUUGAAUCCGGGAGAGGGAUGCGGAAUUCCAGGUGUAGCGGUGAAAUGCGUAGAUAUCUGGAGGAACACCGGUGGCGAAGGCGGCAUCCUGGACCGGUAUUGACGCUGAGGCGCGAAAGCCAGGGGAGCAAACGGG
rnacentral:rRNA from 1 species